rnacentral:rRNA from 1 species
AAUAAGCGGAGGAAAAGAAACCAACAGGGAUUGCCUCAGUAACGGCGAGUGAAGCGGCAACAGCUCAAAUUUGAAAUCUGGCCCUUUCAGGGUCCGAGUUGUAAUUUGUAGAGGAUGCUUCGGCGAGGGCUCCCGUCUAAGUUCCCUGGAACGGGACGUCAUAGAGGGUGAGAAUCCCGUAUGUGAUGGGUUGCUCGAGCCAUGUGAAGCUCCUUCGACGAGUCGAGUUGUUUGGGAAUGCAGCUCUAAAUGGGAGGUAAAUUUCUUCUAAAGCUAAAUACCGGCCAGAGACCGAUAGCGCACAAGUAGAGUGAUCGAAAGAUGAAAAGCACUUUGGAAAGAGAGUUAAAAAGUACGUGAAAUUGUUGAAAGGGAAGCGCUUGCAACCAGACUUGUCCGCAGUUGUUCAGCCGGUCUCCUGACCGGCGUACUCUUCUGCGGCCAGGCCAGCAUCAGUUCGGGCGGUUGGAUAAAGGCCUCGGGAAUGUGGCUCUCUUCGGGGAGUGUUAUAGCCCGGGGCGGAAUGCAGCCAGCCUGGACUGAGGAUCUCGCUUCGGCAAGGAUGCUGGCGUAAUGGUUGUAAGCGGCCCGUCUUGAAACACGGACC